CUCAUUUUGAUAGCAUGUAGACUAAGAACUGGAGUGAUACAGAGAAUAUUAGCAGAGUCGCUGUGCAAAUAUGACACGCAAAGUCAGGCAGCAUUCCACGUUCAA
ensembl:snRNA U6 U6 spliceosomal RNA